UGGGGAAUAUUGGGCAAUGGGCGAAAGCCUGACCCAGCGACGCCGCGUGAAGGAAGAAGGUCUUCGGAUUGUAAACUUCUUUUAUCAGGGACGAAAACUGACGGUACCUGAUGAAUAAGCCACGGCUAACUACGUGCCAGCAGCCGCGGUAAUACGUAGGUGGCAAGCGUUAUCCGGAUUUACUGGGUGUAAAGGGUGUGUAGGCGGGACGGCAAGUCAGAUGUGAAAACUAUGGGCUCAACUCAUAGCCUGCAUUUGAAACUACUGUUCUUGAGGGUCGGAGAGGUAACUGGAAUUCCUAGUGUAGCGGUGAAAUGCGUAGAUAUUAGGAGGAACACCAGUGGCGAAGGCGGGUUACUGGACGAUACCUGACGCUGAGACACGAAAGUGUGGGGAGCAAACAGG
rnacentral:rRNA from 1 species